ACGAGCGCAACCCUUGUCGUUAGUUGCCAGCGCGUUAUGGCGGGCACUUUAACGAAACAGUCGGUGACAAGCCGGAGGAAGGUGGGGACGACGUCAAGUCAUCAUGGCCCUUACGAGCGGGGCUACACACGUCAUACAAUGGCCGGUACAAUGGGCAGCCAACCCGCGAGGGGGAGCAAAUCUCAAAAAGCCGGUCGUAGUCCGGAUCGUAGUCUGCAACUCGACUGCGUGAAGUCGGAAUCGCUAGUAAUCGCGGAUCAGCAUGCCGCGGUGAAUACGUUCCCGGGUCUUGUACACACCGCCCGU
rnacentral:rRNA from 1 species